rnacentral:rRNA from 1 species
CAGUCGCCGCGGUAAUACGUAGGGUGCAAGCGUUGUCCGGAAUUAUUGGGCGUAAAGAGCGUGUAGGCGGCUCGACAAGUCCGCUGUGAAAGUCCAGGGCUCAACCCUGGAAUGCCGGUGGAUACUGUCGAGCUAGAGUCCGGAAGGGGCGAGUGGAACUCCUGGUGUAGCGGUGAAAUGCGCAGAUAUCAGGAAGAACACCAAUGGCGAAGGCAGCUCGCUGGGACGUGACUGACGCUGAGACGCGAAAGCGUGGGGAGCGAACAGGAUUAGAUACCCCGGUAGUCCCUGUCUCUUAUAC